GAUCCGAAGGUCUCAUUACGCUGAAUUUAUGCACGGGGAGGCGGUCUGAAGCUCCGCCCCUGAUACCACCCCUUGACUCCACCUUCCUUCUUUGAAGCCGAUAUUUGUGUCACCAUCAUGGUAAACUAGUACGAGGGCAGGACUGAGCCCCCAGCCCAGGAGCCCGUGCAGUGAGACUCGGAUGUGCUAACGUGUAAAUCCCAUCCGGCCGCUGACUGAUGGCGACGGCACAGAGCAGCUGUGGCUGUGACGUAUUGGGUUAUCGUGGGUGACCUGCAUUCCCUGCAUGACUGGGAUCCUCUGUUGGCAGCGAUGCCCACUCCCCCAUCCCCCCAAAUGGGGGUCCCGAGUCUUCCUCACCCAAUACCGAGGUUUACUGAAAGCAACCUCCUCUUCCUCCAUCUCUUUCUCUGCCUCUGAUUUGAUCCGUUAUUCUCAUUUAUUUUAAUCAAUUGGGUGUAGGAGGGGCGGGACUCUUCACUGGAUUGGUCUUCCCGCUAAGACCGUUGUCUUUCUCCCUUCCGGAAAUGGUCAAAAUUAAAGAUAAUCUUUUAGGGUAUCAACAGCAAACACAGGUGCCCCACAGUUCAUGAUUAUAGCUAUUAAUAAAAUUUUAAAAGGUGAGGUAAUGCAACGAUAAGCAACAGGCUGUCCCUGUAAGGCACACCUGCAGUGCUUUGGGAGAGACUCCAGACUUCUGGAGGAUCCCGGAUCUGGUUGCAUUUCAGCUCCUUCGAUGUCGGAUUCCUUAUCUGUUUGCUCUGCCAAGCUUUUUGAUUUAGGGGUUGUGUAUGAACCUUAACCCGGUUAGCUUUACAGGUAUUUUGAUUUAGUGGUUUUGCAAGUGCCCUGAUACUGUUGUGUUGCCAAGUUUUUGAUUUAGGUUUUUAGGUAUUUUGAUUUAGGGGUGUUACAAGGGCCCUGACACUAUUGGGUUGUCAUGUUUUGAUUACCUUUACAGGUAUUUUCAUUUAGGGGUGUUACAAGGGCCCUGGCACUGUUGGGUUGUCAGGUUUUGAUUAGCUUUACAGGUAUUUCCAUUUAGGGGUUUGCAAGGGCCCUGGCACUGUUGGGUUGUCAGGUUUUGAUUAGCUUUACAGGUAUUUUCAUUUAGGGGUUUGCAAGGGCCCUGGCACUGUUGGGUUGUCAGGUUUUGAUUAGCUUUACAGGUAUUUUCAUUUAGGGGUUUGCAAGGGCCCUGGCACUGUUGGGUUGUCAGGUUUUGAUUAGCUUUACAGGUAUUUUCAUUUAGGGGUUUGCAAGGCCCCUGGCACUGUUGGGUUGUUAGGUUUUGAUUCGCUUUACAGGUAUUUUCAUUUAGGGGUUUGCAAGGCCCCUGGCACUGUUGGGUUGUUAGGUUUUGAUUCGCUUUACAGGUAUUUUCAUUUAGGGGUUUGCAAGAGCCCUGGCACUGUUGUGUUGUUGUGUUCCCAUUGCGGUCGGUGCUUUGCGGUGACAUUGGUACAUCAUAGAACCUGCCACCUAUCUCUGUUUCACUGCUUGUCUGUGAGGAAUGCCCGCCUGUUUAUCAGUCUUCUAGCCUCACUCCAUCUCUGCCUGUCUGCCUACAUUUUACUCUAUGUACAUCCAGUCGUCUGUCUGCCUGCCUGUCUGUUCGCCUGUCUGUCAGCAUAUCUUACUGUCUAUCUUUCUGUCUACCUACCUACAUGUCUUAUUCUCUGUCUGUCUACCUGUCCAUUUGCCUACCUACCUGUCUUAUUCUCUGUCUGUAUAUCUGUCUAUCUGCCUACCCGCCUGUCUUAUUCUCUGUCUGUAUACCUGUCUAUCUGCCUACCUGCCUGUCUUAUUUUCUGUCUGUAUACCUGUCUAUCUGCCUACCUGCCUGUCUUAUUCUCUGUCUGUAUAUCUGUCUAUCUGCCUACCCGCCUGUCUUAUUCUCUGUCUGUAUACCUGUCUAUCUGCCUACCUGCCUGUCUUAUUUUCUGUCUGUAUACCUGUCUAUCUGCCUACCUGCCUGUCUUAUUCUCUGUCUGUAUACCCGUUUAUCUGCUUACCUGCCUGUCUUACUGUUUGCCUGUCUGCGUUACUGUCUGCUUAACUCCAGGCCCUUCCUGCUAAAAUUGAGUCUAAUUUAAUGCCCCUUCAACACAUGGGCCUUGCACAUGUGCAGUUUGGAAGCGGUUCUGAACCUGAUACAGGCCCAGUAGAGAAGAGGCCUCACCCAGUAACCGGAGUGUUUCUCUGGCCCGCGGGUCCCUGGCAGAUGUCCUCACCCCAAGCAUAUAAACGCGUCACAACAUCUGUCCCAGGCCCUGCCUGGGUAAAUAUUUCUGUAGCAGUUAAUUAGGCAUCAGUGACAUGAUCCUCCACUGAAAGCCUGUUUCAUGGUUUAUAUUUAGAGUGGUCUUAAUGUCAUACUGAGUGCAUACAGAAGGUGUUCCUGGAUGGGCACUAUAGGCUGACGAUUACAGAGUAAAGCCUCUGUUUGCCUGUCUCUCCAGAGGCUUCAGUCUGUCUGUCUUUCUGCUCAUCACUCUCUCCAACAUUUGUUGCUUUUCAUCCGUCUCUCUGCCUGUCUGCCUCUCUGUCCGUCUUUGAGUCUUCUGUCUGUCUCUCUUUUUGUCUGUGACUUUGCCAUCCAUCUCUCUGGUGUCUAUCUUUCUGUCUAUCUCUAACUGUACCAUAUGUCUUUGUCCAUCCGUCUCUCUGCUGUCUGUUUCUCUGUUCAUCUGUCUUUAUCGGUCUCUCCGCCAUCUCUCUCCUUCUUUCAGUCUCUCUGCCCAUCCGACUCUGUCCGUCUCUCUGUCCAUCUGUCUUUGUGGGUCUGUCUCUAUGCUUGCCUCUUUCUUCGUUCAUCUCUCUGUCCAUCUAACAUCCAUCUCUCUGCCCGUCUGUCUCUCUGCCAUCCAUCCCUCUGUUCAUCUCCGCUGGUCUGUUUCCCUGCCGUCUGUCUCUCUAUCCAUUUGUCUCUAUCUGUUUAUCUAUCUGUUUUAUGUAGAUUUCUCUCUGCUGUUUGUCUCUCUGCCAUCCGUUUCUGUCUGUCCAUCUCUGUGCCCAUCCAUCUCUGUCUGUCCAUUUCUCUGUCUGUCAGUCACUCUGCUCUACGCCUGUCCAUCUUUCUCCUCUUGUCUCUCUCCCUGAAUGUCAUUCAUCUACUGAGUCUGUCUGUCUCUCUGCAGUCUGUCUUUCUGCUGUUUGCCUAUAACCGUCUGUCUGUGCCACCUUUCUGCUGUGUGUCUCUCUGCCACCUGUCUUUCUGUUCAUUUGUAACUCUGUCAUCCGUAUUUGUCCAUCCAUCUCUCGGGCAAUCUGUCGCACCAUCCAUCCGUCUCUCUGCUCACUUGUCUCUCUGUUAGCAGCUUCACUCCGUCUGUCUUUGUCCUAGAGGUCCCGGUAAUCCACAGCUGUGCCAGUCUCACACAGCGAAGCCCCCAGCAUCAGCCUCACACGGACACUGUGAAACAUGUCUUAGCAUGUAUGUGAACAUGCAUGUCCUAGCUAGAAUCCAUGUGGAGCAUGUGGGUGUGUUCUGCGAAGAGCUGGGAUAGCUUGAUGGUACAUUGAGGAUGGUAGAUAAUCAUAUCUGUGUUCUGAUGAACCAGGUGGUCACAAUCUGUGAUAGCCAAUGUAAAGGUAGAAUACUUUUGAAUAUUAAUGAUGAAGAAGU